GUCUCUGUGGUGCAAGUGUUAGCAUGUUCGGCUGUUAACUGAAAGGUUGGUCGUUCGAGCCCACCCAGGGAUG
rnacentral:tRNA from 1 species